rnacentral:snRNA from 13 species
UCACUCUGGUUUUCCUUCAGAGCGCAAAAAUCUUUCGCCUUUUACUAAAGAUUUCCGUGGAGGAGAACAACAUAAUGAGUCUAUAAACUAAUUUUUUGUUGCCCUGCCUUAUGGCGGGGCU